UCCGGUUUGACACCGGCAGUCCCCCUAGAGUGCCCCGCGAGGGUUGCAACUAGGGGUAAGGGUUUCGCUCGUUAUGGGACUUAACCCGACAUCUCACGACACGAGCUGACGACAGCCAUGCAGCACCUGUACGAGCUUCCGGGUUGGGUACCGUUCGUCCCCGUUUCCGGGUCCUACCUGCUCGCGCUUUCGCACAUGUCAAGUCCGGGAUAAGGUUCUUCGCGUAGCCUCGAAUUAAGCCACAUGCUCCACCGCUUGUGUGAGCCCCCGUCAAUUCCUUUGAGUUUCAGCCUUGCGGCCAUACUCCCCAGGCGGGGAACUUAGCACUUUUGCUCCGGCAGUCAGCCCAUGUCAGGCCGACUACCUAGUUCCCAACGUUUAGGGCCAGGACUAC
rnacentral:misc_RNA from 1 species